rnacentral:rRNA from 1 species
UACGGGGGGGGCAAGCGUUGUUCGGAAUUACUGGGCGUAAAGGGCUCGUAGGCGGCCAACUAAGCCAGACGUGAAAUCCCUCGGCUUAACCGGGGAACUGCGUCUGAUACUGGAUGGCUGGAGGUUGGGAGAGGGAUGCGGAAUUCCAGGUGUAGCGGUGAAAUGCGUAGAUAUCUGGAGGAACACCGGUGGCGAAGGCGGCAUCCUGGACCAAUUCUGACGCUGAGGAGCGAAAGCCAGGGGAGCAAACGGG